UGUGUCCUGAUAAAGACAUUCUGUUUUUAAACAACAUAGGUUAAACAGAUCUGUUAGGUUAUUUCUAUGAAUUACAUAUGCAUAUUAAACUGUUCUACCUCUUGAUUAAUGUUUUCUCACUUGCAGCCAAAUCUGGAACCGGGGUAAGAUGGGUUUUCAAUAGACAUGUAGCAGCAGGCCGGUAAACCCAAUCUUUAACAGGACCCAGACCAGCAUGGACUUUAGAAACAUCACUGGGCUUACACAACAAUACCUCUUUUUUUGUUGUUGUUUGAUUUUUAUAAAAUUCAAAAGAUGCCACGUCAUCCAUGCAUUUAUUUCAGCAAUACAAUCCAGAAAGUGCAUUAUGGAGAACUGAUUCCCCGGUUUCAGUUGCAUAUAAUUUUGGCUGUCAUCAACAUAGAAAUGAUAGGUGCCAGUAUAUUUACGGAUAAUUAAGCCAGGGGGAAGUAAACAGAGCGAAAACGGUAAAGGGCCGAGAAUUGAGUCUUGAGGAACUCUACAUGUAAGGGGUGCUAUAGAUGACUCGAUGGAACUUAACCAAAGACAAAAACUUUGCCCCGUAAAAUAAGAUUUAAACCACUCUAGAGCAACACCAUGGAUGUCCAUCAAGUCCUCCAAGCAAGGUAAAAUGAUCUGAUUGUCUACUGUAUCAAAAUCGGCUGUUAGAUCCAUCAGCAUUUAGAUAACACUGUCAGGACUCAGCAGGUAGUACUGUGCAGUUUCCUGCCCGCUCUGCCUCCUCUACUCUCUCCGUAGGUGACUGCAGUUGGCAGAUGGGCGUGGCGCGCAGACCUGCGGCUCGUUCAGCAGCGUGCGGCUGCACUAUAAAGACAGCACUCAGACAGCUGGAGGACGCCGAGUGUUAACCUUGAGUGGUUGUCUCACACUCUGGAUCCCUCUCACAGCGCUUUGUCUGGUUCUGACGUCCCAUGUUAAGUCUUCUGGCUCUUGUGUUACCAAGCCUUGGUAACACAGCUACCUUGUGUUACCAAGCCGGGCUGAGGACUCCCACCAGAUCACCCUGGUUCCUCCAGCUGUCUCCGGACCACCUCCCUCGCCGCUGCUGCUCGGGCCCCUCACGGACUCCACCUGCCCACCCCACGGCCGCUCGGUCACCUGCUGCCAUCCCAGGAAGUCUCCCGCUGAGUCCGUCUCUCCACUCCGCUCCCCCCGGAUAGGUCUCAGUGCCCGGCGAUCGCUCAAGCUCGUUCCGCCGCUGCCUUCCCGUGGGAUACCCGCUCAGUCACCCUUCUACAAACCAU